AUUCCGUGAUGAGGGCACUUCCGUAAUAAUUCUUUGUACCUUUCUCAUGCCUCACAUAAUGACUCAUCAUCUAUUUGUUGGAAAGUAGUGAUCUCGUUCCUCAACUU
rfam:Gossypium hirsutum cultivar TM-1 chromosome 20, whole genome shotgun sequence